rnacentral:rRNA from 1 species
UUCAUGGAGAGUUUGAUCCUGGCUCAGGACGAACGCUGGCGGCGUGCCUAAUACAUGCAAGUCGAGCGAACCGGCGGGAGCUUGCUCCCUUAGGUUAGCGGCGGACGGGUGAGUA